AGCAACUUGUCCAUUCUCUGUCAUGUGUGGCUGAAGCAAGAUAAAGGUGAUUUCCUUGAGAGAAAUGAGUUAUGUGAGGGAUGAAUUUUCAGUGAAUUUGCUGGUUGCUAAUUUUCUGGAUAAUGUAGAACAAGGAUUUUCUUUUUUUUUUAAGCUGUUGUUUACCUGUACGCAAAAUAGAGUAGAAAUAACAAUAGAAAUUUCAACAAAUGUGUUGUUUUUGUUUUCUUAAGCUUGCAAUUUUCAAGAUGAUUUGUUGAAUGACAAUCCUAAAUGCUGAAAAUUCCUUCAAUUGCAAGGUUGGUAUUUCAAUACAAUACGCCAAAAAGUGGGGAAUAUGUGUUUGUUGUAGUUGAAUUAUUAAGGAACUGAGAAUUUGAUAUAGUUUUCCUGCUUUAGUUGGUUUAAAAAGAUUUGCAAAAGGCAGCUAGACCAAAUCUUUAACUCUCACCACCUGUAAGGCUGUAACAAUGAGAUGGGCAAAAGGGAUUUGAGGAAGUAGGAAUAUGCAGGGAUGAUAGUAGUCAGUUUAGAGAGCAUAGAAAGAAAAUGAGAUGGGGAAUCUAGUUAAAGAGAGAAAGAAAAGCUGAUCAGCAACGAAUCUGGCUUCCUGUGUUGGAGAAGAAAUCUUCAUGAAGCAAUAGCCGGU
rnacentral:misc_RNA from 1 species